rnacentral:misc_RNA from 1 species
GUGGACAUUUUAAGUAAAACGAGAAUCCGGCAUUUCGUUCCGGCGGCCACAAGUUGGGGAAGAGAACAAAGAGGUUCGAAAGUUGAAUAUUUUUAUUCAAUUUUAAAUACAUUUUUUAAAAUCAAUAUUUUAUCAAAAUGGCGGACAUAAAUGGUGAAGGCGAUCCUUUAGGCGAAGAAAUUGAAACAAGAGAGAAUGGUGAACAUAACGAAGAAUUACCAGAAGGUGCCGUUGACGAUACGGGCGAAGAACAGAAUAUCGAAGAUCCCGAACUCGAAGCUAUAAAAGCCAGAGUAAGGGAAAUGGAAGAAGAAGCUGAAAAGUUAAAACAAAUGCAGAGUGAAGUCGAGAAACAAAUGAGUAUGAGUCCUCCAGGUGCGUUACUUGGUUUAUCACUUGAAGAAAAAAUGGAAGUUGAUGGAAGAUCGGUUUAUGUGGGCAAUGUUGAUUAUGGAGCAACUGCUGAAGAAUUGGAACAACAUUUUCACGGCUGUGGUUCUAUAAAUCGUGUGACAAUUUUAUGUGACAAGUACUCAGGUCAUCCUAAAGGGUUUGCAUAUGUUGAAUUUGCGGACAAAGAUUCUAUUCAGACUGCUAUGGCGUUAGAUGAAUCACUUUUUAGAGGAAGACAAAUUAAGGUAAUGCCAAAAAGAACGAAUCGACCGGGAAUUAGUACCACAAAUAGACCACCAAGAGGACGUUAUCGAGGAGGUGGGAGACCAUAUACUCGAGGGGCUUAUUUUGGAUAUCGUCCAACCAGAAGGCCAUACAGAAGUCGGAGAGCAUGGUAUCAUCCUUAUUGAGAAUGGGUUAAAUAUAAAUUCAGGAACUUCGACAACUCAAACUUCUCCAUUGUGAGUUUGUAGACCUGGAAUCCUUCUGACAUAGUGUAAAGUAGCCCAUCUUUCAUUACAUCAAUAAUUUCAUUGUAUAGUCUACACUUAAUAUACAUCUGGGCAAAUUUUUCGUUUCGUGAUAACUGCUUUCCACUCUGCAGUCGUGUUUACUCAUGGUUUUCAGAAUCUUCUUUUCCAGGCCUCCACGCUGCAGAACUUAACUCUCCAGCAGCUUUUCCAUCUUCCUUACUUUUUCAUAAAUGUAAAAAAUGAAAAUAAAAAAAGAUGUAAAAAAUUGUCGAAUAAAAAUAUGAAAUAUGUGGAAA